UCCUNCGAGAAGAGUNGCCGACGGUGAGUAACGCGUGAGAAUUUGCCUUCCAGAACGGGGACANCAGUUGGAAACGACUGCUUAUACCCGAUGAACCGAAAGGGAAAAGAUUUAUNGUCUGGAGAGGAGCUCGCGUCCGAUUAGCUAGUUGGUGUGGUAAAGGCGCACCAAGGCGGCGAUCGGUAGCUGGUUUGAGAGGACAAUCAGCCACACUGGGACUGAGACACGGCCCAGACUCUUACGGGAGGCAGCAGUGGGGAAUUUUCCGCAAUGGGCGAAAGCCUGACGGAGCAAGACCGCGUGAGGGAGGAAGGCUCUUGGGUUGUAAACCUCUUUUCUCAGGGAAGAAGAUCUGACGGUACCUGAGGAAUAAGCCUCGGCUAACUCCGUGCCAGCAGCCGCGGUAAUACGGAGGAGGCAAGCGUUAUCCGGAAUUAUUGGGCGUAAAGCGUCCGCAGGUGGCAAUUCAAGUCUGCUGUCAAAGACCGGGGCUUAACUCUGGGAAGGCAGUGGAAACUGGAUAGCUAGAGUGCGGUAGGGGUAGAGGGAAUUCCCGGUGUAGCGGUGAAAUGCGUAGAGAUCGGGAAGAACACCAGUAGCGAAAGCGCUCUGCUGGACCGCAACUGACACUAAGGGACGAAAGCUAGGGGAGCGAAUGGGAUUAGAUACCCCAGUAGUCCUAGCCGUAAACGAUGGAUACUAGGUGUCGACUGUAUCGACCCGGUCGGCGCCGUAGCUAACGCGUUAAGUAUCCCGCCUGGGGAGUACGCACGCAAGUGUGAAACUCAAAGGAAUUGACGGGGGCCCGCACAAGCGGUGGAGUAUGUGGUUUAAUUCGAUGCAACGCGAAGAACCUUACCAGGGCUUGACAUGUCGCGAACCAGGGGGAAACUCUUGGGUGCCUUAGGGAGCGCGAACACAGGUGGUGCAUGGCUGUCGUCAGCUCGUGUCGUGAGAUGUUGGGUUAAGUCCCGCAACGAGCGCAACCCU
rnacentral:rRNA from 1 species